UACGGGGAGCGGCAGUGGGGAAUAUUGCACAAUGGGGGAAACCCUGAUGCAGCCAUGCCGCGUGUGUGAAGAAGGCCUUCGGGUUGUAAAGCACUUUCAGUAGGGAGGAAGGUAGUGUAGUUAACACCUGCAUUAUUUGACGUUACCUACAGAAGAAGCACCGGCUAACUCCGUGCCAGCAGCCGCGGUAAUACGGAGGGUGCGAGCGUUAAUCGGAAUUACUGGGCGUAAAGCGCAUGCAGGCGGCCUGUUAAGUCAGAUGUGAAAGCCCGGGGCUUAACCUCGGAAUUGCAUUUGAAACUGGCAGGCUAGAGUCUUGUAGAGGGGGGUAGGAAUUUCAGGUGUAGCGGUGAAAUGCGUAGAGAUCUGAAGGAAUACCAGUGGCGAAGGCGGCCCCCUGGACAAAGACUGACGCUCAGAUGCGAAAGCGUGGGGAGCAAACAGGAUUAGAUACCCUGGUAG
rnacentral:rRNA from 1 species